rnacentral:lncRNA from 10 species
AUUUCCGCGGGCGCUGAGCACUAGAGAGAGCGUCUUGUGGCUGCGGCCUGCCCCUCAGCCUCCUCCGCGCGGUUACCCCUGUACCCGCCGCCAUCCGUCCUGGCGCUCCGGAUGAGUCAAUGAGGGGCAGGGCCCGAGGAGUGGUCUUCCCAAGAACCCCUGGUGGCCUCCCAAGGCCGGUGCUGUGUACCUCCUCCCCGACAAAAGGGGAAACUGAGGCCCCGAGGGGAGUGGGAAGAGCCGGCUGGACGUCAGGCCCAGCCGCUGGUGCAGUGGUCCGUCCCCUCUGCCGGGGUGGGCCCCUCGGGUUUCGCGUGUCCUCGGGAAAGAGACUGGCGGGUGAGCCGCGCCCUCGGCCUUCGCUGGGCUAAGCCGACCCCAUGCAGACGUCAAACCCCCCUAGGCCUCGUGGGCUGUGCGGCUAUCCUGGAGACAGAUGACAGCUCUCCCUUGGAUGGCUUUGCUGGUUCCGCACCAGCCAGCGCCCCCAUUUUUCCUGCAGCACCCUGAUCUGCACUCCCUGAGGGGCUCCCACUGUCCGCGGUGUGAGGAUGUCCCUGGAUAGUCCACUGUGUGCAGAGGCAUGGGAGUUGUCAUGUUGGGAACAUGCUAGACCUCAGUAUCCUUGAGGGAUGCUGCCUUGGGUCUGGAAACUGUUAGAGGAAACCCCAAGAGGUGCAGGCACUGAGCCUCUCAGGACAAUGACCUGGGGUCCCAGCUCCCCUGGAGGGGCCUCCUCAUGAUUGUUUGGGGGUUGAUCACAGACCAAGAGUGACGAGUGAUGUCACCCUGUGACUCAUGGCUGGACCUUCUUGCCCCUAUUGUCUCAGCACAACAUUAUUCGACUUUUCCCUCAGCGUGGGUGGGCAGAGGAAAAGCCCUGUGGCUCUGGGGACUUGGGAUCCAGAGUUGAAGACCCUUCAGCUGGCUCUGCCCUGCCAGUGCCACAGAGUGCCAUGGCCCAGGAAGACAGGUUUUCUUCCAUCUAGGCCAGGCCAUCCAGUGGCCAUCCUCCGUGUCCUCCCGCCUCCUCCUGGUGUGACUUCUGAAAACCAAGAAUUUGUUCCUGUUGACUUUUUCUGUGCUAUGGACCAUUGUCCUCUCACCCACUCAAUAAAUCUUGAAACAUG